CUUGAAUACCUAUGACUAUGCAUACACUAAGUUUUAUGCAAAGAUAUUACCAUAUUUUUCCUCUCUUACAGCAUAAUCUGCCCAUCUAUUCCGGGAAAAUCAUGUUCUAUGCAGUUCGUUUUAUUGGAUAAUUUUACUUCUUCGGGAUUGCAAAUAAAGAGGAACAGGAUUGGUUGACAGAGCCUAUUAUGCUGGAGAAGUGGAUCCUGAUUGGCUGUUCCUGUU